rnacentral:rRNA from 1 species
GCAGCCGCGGUAAUUCCAGCUCCAAUAGCGUAUAUUAAAGUUGUUGCAGUUAAAAAGCUCGUAGUUGAAUUUCGGGAUCAGUACGCUGGUCGUGCCUUUGGUAUGCACUGGUGUCACUGGUUCCUCCCUUCUGAAGAACUGUCAUGCCAUUAAUUUGGUGUGGCGGGGAAUCAGGACUGUUACUUUGAAAAAAUUAGAGUGUUUAAAGCAGGCUCGCGCUUGAAUACAUUAGCAUGGAAUAAUGAAAUAGGACGUUUGAUCCUAUUUUGUUGGUUUCUAGGAUCGACGUAAUGAUUAAUAGGGAUAGUUGGGGCAUUAGUAUUCAAUUGUCAGAGGUGAAAUUCUUGGAUUUAUUGAAGACUAACUACUGCGAAAGCAUUUGCCAAGGAUGUUUUCAUUAAUCAAGACGAAAGUUAGGGGAUCGAAGACGAUCAGAUACCGUCGUAGUCUUAACCAUAAACUAUGCCGACUAGGGAUCGGAUGAUGUAAUUUUUUAAUG